GGAUGUCACAUAUUAUUCUAACUAAAUUCACAUAAACAAAGAAGAAAAGGAUCAUAAUGGAGAAGAAAAAAAUUAUUGGAUUGUGCUUCUUCCUCGUGGUUCUCUUAGCUACUCCUACUCAAGAAAGAGAGGUGAAGAUUAUUAAUGACGAAUGUUUGAAGCAGAGUAAAAUAUUCAUUACUGUAUGCCUUCCAAACUUAUCACACAACGAUUGUGACGUUGCUUGCCAAUAUGAAGGUGCAAAGAGUGGUGUAUGUCUAAAUUUCAAGUGCAUUUGUCGAUUAUGUUGAAUUUAUAUUAUCACCACUAUAUAAUAACUAAAUAAAAGCUUGUUCACCUAUAGUUAGUUCAUGUUCAUCAAAUAAAACAUUAAUUAUUAACGAUGUUUCCUUGUUUGAUAUGGAAUAUAAUAUGAUCACUACUAAAUAAAGAAACACUUGUGUCCCAAAAAAUGAUGCAUAGAUAAAUGCAAAAUUAAAAACUAAGGGUAUGAUUAUGGA